rnacentral:rRNA from 1 species
UACGUAGGGUGCAAGCGUUGUCCGGAAUUAUUGGGCGUAAAGAGCUCGUAGGCGGUUCGUCGCGUCGGCCGUGAAAACCUGCAGCUUAACUGUGGGCUUGCGGUCGAUACGGGCAUCACUGGAGUUCGGCAGGGAGACUGGAAUUCCUGGUGUAGCGGUGGAAUGCGCAGAUAUCAGGAGGAACACCGAUGGCGAAGGCAGAUCUCUGGGCCGUAACUGACGCUGAGGAGCGAAAGCAUGGGGAGCGAACCGG